rnacentral:lncRNA from 1 species
CCGAAACAGCAGCGAUCCUGUUCUCUUCCAGACCCGCAGGAAACGAGUUCCAGGAAGCCGCCCCUCCUCCAGCCUCGCCCUAAGGACCCGAUCCCAGGCCAGCACCACCCGCCCCUCCUCCGCCCAGCAGCUCCCGCACAGAGGAUCCCUCGGCCCACACACCCCUCCACAGUCACCCCGUACCCGCGACCCCGGCCUCUGCCGGAGCCCUCCAGGCUCUGCCCGCUCAGCAGAGUGCGUCAGGCCCCCACGCAGGCCCGUCCCCUCUGGCCGGCCCUUCUCCUCACCUUGUCCACCCCGGAGAGCGGGAGGCGCCGCAGGAGGUGGACCUGCUGGGCCCUGGUCAGCUGCUAAGCCAAGAGACCUAGGAACCUGGGAGAAAAGCUUUGUGAUACCCAGGAAACCAGACCACAGAGUGAUCCGGGUAACUGCUGUGUGCUGGUAACUGAAGUGUCGUACCCUGGUUGGGCGCAGUGGCACAACACCCGUAGUUCUCAGCUGCUCGGGAGCCCUCCAGACCCCAGGAGGAUGAGGGACAAGAGUGCAAGUUCCAGGCUGUCUGGGCAGCCUAGUGAAACCUUAUCUCAAGUAAAUAAAUACAUAAAAAGGCC